GGGCAAUGGCGGGCGCCCCUCCCCCAGCCUCGCUGCCGCCUUGCAGUUUGAUCUCAGACUGCUGUGCUAGCAAUCCGCGAGACUCCGUGGGGUAGGACCCUCCGAGCCAGGUGCGGCAUAUAAUCUCGUGGUGCGCCGUUUUUUAAGCCCGUGGGGAAAGCGCAGUGUUCUGGUGGGAGUGACCCGAUUUUCCAGGUGCCGUCCGUCACCCCUUUCUUUGACUAGGAAAGGGAACUCCCUGACCCUUGCUCUUCCCGAGUGAGGCAAUGCCUCGCCCUGCUUCGGCUCGCGCAGGGUGCGCGCACCCACUGACCUGCGCCCACUGUCUGGCACUCCCUAGUGAGAUGAACCCGGUACCUCAGAUGGAAAUGCAGAAAUCAACCAUCUUCUGUGUCGCUCACGCUGGGAGCUGUAGACCGGAGCUGUUCCUAUUUGGCCAUCUUGGCUCCUUCCUCAUCCUUAUUCAAUUCUUGAACGGGCCAUCACCGUCUUCAUAAAGAGAGCCAGUGACAAGUCCUGCCCUGGGACCUAGGAAAGACCCAAGAAGCCAGGAUUAUCCAGAACCCCAGAUCUGCUGACUCCUCCAUGUCCCCCGCCAAGGCUGGAGAAAGGCAGAACACUAACCUGAGACAGGCUCCCAACUUGAACUUGCUAUCUACUGCUGGGAACAAGAUGUCUGGGCAUGUAUGGAGGAUCAGAAUGAUGGAUGAGCCACGAUCUGUUGGGAAAGUGGCUCCACAGUGUCUGGGGACGACGUGUCCCCCAGCAAACCAGCCUGUUAAGAACUUGGUCCAGGAACACCACUGUCAUGCCAUCAGGGUAAGGGCUUUGACGUCCAGGUGCUAGGUAGAGCCAGGACUGCAAGUUGAAAGGCUUUCACUCAAGGUCUCCUUCAGGAUUGGGAGCACAAGGCAACCUUGCUCUAUGACCAACAGAAAAGAGAAACCCAAAGGCUGCAGGGAAGCCCACCCCGGCAGCUACAGAGCACUUGCACCUGAAGUCUGUGAGUAGAAUUUCGGAGGUCUGCAAACUUAGAUGGGAAAAAUUAUAUUCAUAUUUUUACUAAUUGCAGCCUUAAAUUUGCAUUUCAUUCUAUUGUGACAUGGGAAACAAAUCUCAGUAUUAUAUGCAGUAUCUAUUUAUCUAUCUAUCUAUCUAUCACCUAUCAUGUAUCUAUCCAUCUCUAUCUAAUUAUCAUCUAUCUAUAUAUCUAUCUCUAAUCUAGUUUACCAUCUAUCAUGUAUUUAUCAUCUAUCUCUAAUCUAUCAUCUAAUCUAAUCUAAUCUAUCAUCUCUAUCAUUCAUCUAUCUAUAUUUUCUAUCUAUAUCCAUCCAUCCAUUUAUAUCUAUCAAUUAUCUGUCUAUUCUCAUCAUGUAUUUGUCUAUCCAUCUAUCUUUCUAAUCUAUCAUUUACCUAUCUAUCCAUCCAUUUACAUCUAUCUAUUUACCUAUAUGUCUAUCAAUCAAUCAAUUAUCUAUCUAUUCCCAUCAUGUAGCUAUCUAUCCAUCUAUCUCUCUAAUCUAUCUAUCAUCUUUCUAUAUCUAUCUCAAUCCAUCCAUCCAUCCAUCCAUUCAUCUAUAUCUAUCAUCUAUAUCUAUCUAUCAUCUAUAUCUAGCUAUCUAUCCUUCUAUCUCUCUAAUCUAUCUAUCAUCUUUCUAUAUCUAUCUCAAUCCAUCCAUCCAUCAAUCCAUUCAUCUAUAUCUAUCUAUCAUCUAUAUCUAUCUAUCAUCUAUAUCUAUCUAUCUAUCUGUAUCUCUCUAUCUAUCUAUUUAUCUUUAUGGUUUUAUUCCUAAUUGAAAACACAGGUGCAUCUCUAUCACAUUACAACAGUUAUAGAUACUUCAAAAUAUUUGCGUUCAUUGUUACUUUAAAGUUAUGGUAGAUAUGACACUCAAAGAAAGAUCUCCUAUAAUGUGUUAAUAAAGAUGCAUGGGUACC
rnacentral:lncRNA from 10 species